AGCGAACGCUGGCGGCAGGCCUAACACAUGCAAGUCGAGCGGCCGUAGCAAUACGGCAGCGGCAGACGGGAGAGUAACACGUGGGAACGCGCCCUUCGGUUCGGGAUAACUCAGGGAAACUUGAGCUAAUACCGGAUGCGCCCUUACGGGGAAAGAUUUAUUGCCGAAGGAACGGCCCGCGUCCGAUUAGCUUGUUGGUGAGGUAACGGCUCACCAAGGCGACGAUCGGUAGCUGGUCUGAGAGGAUGACCAGCCUCACUGGGACUGAGACACGGCCCAGACUCCUACGGGAGGCAGCAGUGGGGAAUAUUGGACAAUGGGCGCAAGCCUGAUCCAGCCAUGCCGCGUGGGUGAUGAAGGCCCUAGGGUUGUAAAGCCCCUUCAGCGGGGAAGAUAAUGACGGUACCCGCAGAAGAAGCCCCGGCUAACUUCGUGCCAGCAGCCGCCGUAAGAC
rnacentral:rRNA from 1 species